AUUGAACGCUGGCGGCAGGCCUAACACAUGCAAGUCGAGCGAGCGGCGGACGGGUGAGUAAUGUAUGGGGAUCUGCCCGAUAGAGGGGGAUAACUACUGGAAACGUUAGCUAAUACCGCAUACUAUCAGAUGUGCCCAUAGGGGAUUAGCUAGUAGGUGGGGUAAAGGCUAACCUAGGCGACGAUCCCUAGCUGGUCUGAGAGGAUGAACAGCCAAACUGGGACGGAGACACGGCCCAGACUCCUACGGGAGGCAGCAGUGGGGAAGAUUGCACAAUGGGCGCAAGCCUGAUGCAGCCAUGCCGCGUGUAUGAAGAAGGCCUUAGGGUUGUAAAGUACUUUCAGCGAGGAGGCGUUACCCGCAGAAGAAGCACCGGCUAACUCCGUGCCAGCAGCCGCGGUAAUAC
rnacentral:rRNA from 1 species